rnacentral:rRNA from 1 species
UAGUCCACGCCCUAAACGAUGGACACUGGCUAUUGCAAGUGUCGACCCUUGCAGUGGCGAAGCUAACGCGUUAAGUGUCCCGCCUGGGAAGUACGGUCGCAAGACUAAAACUCAAAGGAAUAGACGGGGAUCCACACAAGCGGUGGACCACGUGGCUUAAUUCGACAACAAGCGAAGAACCUUACCAGGGCUUGACAUUCCGACAAAACCCUGAUGAAAAUUAGGGCUCCUUACAAGGAUGUCGGAACAGGUGCUGCAUGGUUGUCGUCAGUAGGUGGCUUGAGUUGCUCCCUUAAAUGGGGUAACCUGCGCAACCCCUGCCCUAUGUUUAAUUUGUCAUAGGGGACUGCCUGGGACAACCAGGAGGAAGGUGGGGAUGACGCCAAAUCAGCAUGGCCCUCUGAUGCCCUGGGCUGCACACGUGGUACAAUGGGGCUGACAAAGGGUUGCUAAGACGUAAGUCGGAGCUAAUCCCAUCAAACGGCCUCUCAGUUCGGAUUGAGGUCUGCAACCUGACCUCAUGAAGCUGGAAUCGCUAGUAACUGUGAAUCAGCCACGUCACAGUGAAUAUGUCUCUGGAUCUUGUACUCACCGCCCGUCACUUCAAGCAAGCUGGGAAUAGCCAAAGCC